AUAAAUUUACCGCCGGGUAAACGCUUGUUUUCAUUCCGUUAGGCCAUAGAAGGAGUGAAAAGCAAGCGUUUUAUUUU
rnacentral:ncRNA from 1 species